rnacentral:rRNA from 1 species
AUGAACGCUCGCGCUAGGCUUAACACAUGCAAGUCGAGGGGCAGCACAAGGUAGCUUGCUAUCUGGGUGGCGACCGGCGCACGGGUGCGUAACGCGUAUGCAACUUGCCCUAUACAGGAGGAUAACCCGUCGAAAGACGGACUAAUACUGCGUAUGCUCACAACUUGGCAUCAAGUGGUGAGGAAAGAAAUUCGGUAUAGGAUAGGCAUGCGUCCCAUUAGCUUGUUGGUGAGGUAACGGCUCACCAAGGCAACGAUGGGUAGGGGAACUGAGAAGUUUAUCCCCCACACUGGUACUGAGACACGGACCAGACUCCUACGGGAGGCAGCAGUGAGGAAUAUUGGUCAAUGGGCGCGAGCCUGAACCAGCCAAGUCGCGUGAAGGAUGACUGUCUUAUGGAUUGUAAACUUCUUUUAUACGGGAAUAACAAGAGUCACGUGUGACUCCCUGCAUGUACCGUAUGAAUAAGCAGCGGCUAACUCCGUG